CAGCAWWUUUUUSSCAUGAUAAAUWUKUUAAAGAUUUAUCGGUWUAGGAUGGGCAUGCGUCCCCAUUAGUUAGUUGGUGAGGUAAUGGCUCACCAAGGCUUCGAUGGGUAUGGGGUCUAAAAGGAUGGUCCCACACACUGGCACCGAGACACGGGCCAGACUCCUACGGGAGGCAGCAGUGAGGAAUAUUGGUCAAUGGGCGAGAGCCUGAACCAGCCAUCCCGCGUGCAGGAUGACAGUCCUAGUGAUUGUAAACUGCUUUUCUAUAAGAUGAAUAAGGACUACGUGUAGUUCGAUGACCGUAUUAUAGGAAUAAGCAUCGGCUAACUCCGUGCCAGCAGCCGCGGUAAUACGGAGGAUGCAAGCGUUAUCCGGAUUUAUUAGGUUUAAAGGGUGCGUAGGUGGGCGUUUAAGUCAGUGGUUAAAGCCAAUAGCUUAACUAUUGUAUGCCAUUGAAACUGGAUGUCUUGAAUAGGGUAGAGGUAGGCGGAAUGUGUUGUGUAGCGGUGAAAUGCUUAGAUAUAACACAGAACACCGAUUGCGAAGGCAGCUUACUAUGCCUUUAUUGACACUGAUGCACGAAAGCGUGGGGAUCAAACAGGAUUAGAUACCCUGGUAGUCCACGCUGUAAACGAUGAUCACUCGUUUUUGGCAAUACAUCGUCAGAGACUAAGCGAAAGCAUUAAGUGAUCCACCUGGGGAGUACGUUCGCAAGAAUGAAACUCAAAGGAAUUGACGGGGGCCCGCACAAGCGGAGGAACAUGUGGUUUAAUUCGAUGAUACGCGAGGAACCUUACCUGGGCUUAAAUGUAUAGUGCAUAAUAUGGAAACAUAUUUUUCCUUCGGGACUCUUUACAAGGUGCUGCAUGGUUGUCGUCAGCUCGUGCCGUGAGGUGUCGGGUUAAGUCCCAUAACGAGCGCAACCCUCAUCGCCAGUUGCCAGCAUGUAAUGAUGGGGACUCUGGUGAAACUGCCGGUGUAAACCGUGAGGAAGGUGGGGAUGACGUCAAAUCAGCACGGCCCUUAUGUCCAGGGCUACACACGUGUUACAAUGGCCAAUACAAAGGGCAGCCACCCGGCGACGGGGUGCUAAUCCAUAAAGUUGGUCUUAGUUCGGAUCGGAGUCUGCAACUCGACUCCGUGAAGCUGGAUUCGCUAGUAAUCGUAGAUCAGCCAUGCUAACG
rnacentral:rRNA from 1 species